AGCGAACGCUGGCGGCAGGCUUAACACAUGCAAGUCGGACGCCCCGCAAGGGGAGUGGCAGACGGGUGAGUAACGCGUGGGAACAUACCCUUUUCUACGGAAUAGCUCUGGGAAACUGGAAUUAAUACCGUAUACGCCCUACGGGGGAAAGAUUUAUCGGGGAAGGAUUGGCCCGCGUUGGAUUAGCUAGUUGGUGGGGUAAAGGCCUACCAAGGCGACGAUCCAUAGCUGGUCUGAGAGGAUGAUCAGCCACAUUGGGACUGAGACACGGCCCAAACUCCUACGGGAGGCAGCAGUGGGGAAUAUUGGACAAUGGGCGCAAGCCUGAUCCAGCCAUGCCGCGUGAGUGAUGAAGGCCUUAGGGUUGUAAAGCUCUUUCACCGAUGAAGAUAAUGACGGUAGUCGGAGAAGAAGCCCCGGCUAACUUCGUGCCAGCCGCCGCGGUAAUAC
rnacentral:rRNA from 1 species